CCCGCCACUGUGCCUGUCUUGUGUGUGACUGAGUUUAGUCCAGUGGAGGCUAAGAGAGACCCAGCUCUAGGAAGCAGAGCUACCCAAUCUGAUGGGUAACCCUGUGCCGAAAGAUCUGGAACAAAA